AUGGCACUGCCGGUCCACCUUUUGGCGGCACUGCCAUUGCCGUCCUGGGCGAUCAAAAUCAUCAACCGUCGUUGUCGUAGCUUCAUUUGGAAGGGCGAGGAAGAGAUCAAUGGGGGCCACUGCCUGCUCCCAUGGUCUAGGGUGUGCAUGCCCCGGGAGCUUGAUGGGCUUGGAGUUUUAAAUCUUAAAUGGUUUGGUCUAGCACUUCGCUGUAAAUGGCCUUGGCUGCGCUGGGACGCGGAUGAGAGGACGUGGCAUGCUCUGCCCGACGUGAUGGAGAGGGAGGUCCAGGCCCUUUUCAACGCAGCCUGCCAAGUCAGGCUGGGAUCCGGUGAGAUUGCCAGAUUUUGGACUGACCGGUGGCUGGAGGAUGGCAACUCAGCCUGGACCAAAGACGUAGCCGGCGGGCUCUCGCUACCUGCCAUUGUGCAGUUCCUCAAGGUAUGGGAGUUGGUGGAGAACACUACCCUCAAUAUGGAUGCCAGGGACACUCCGCGCUGGAUGUUGACAACGGACAAGCAAUUCUUUGUCCAGAGUGCAUACAGCCUGUUCUUUCUAGGCAACACUCGCUUUGCAUGCUCAAAGCCAAUUUGGAAGUCCAAGGCUCCACCGCGUUGUAAAUUCUUCAUGUGGCUUGUGGUGCAUAAAAGAUGUCUCACCGCGGACAAUCCGGAGUUACGAAGCUAGCCGUCCAAUCGAGUGUGUUCGCUCUGCCUGUCUGCGUCGGAGGACUGCACUCACCUUUUUGUCCACUGCCCAUAUACCCAACAGGUUUGGUUGCUCUUUAAAACAUGGACGAAUGCAGAUUUCAUUACCCCCGAUGCUUCUUUCACUUCCACGGAAGACUGGUGGCUUCGGGCUAGGGCGGCAAUUCCGAAGGCGGUCAGGAGGAAUUUUGAUACGGUAAUCAUCCUGCUGCACUGGAGGGUGUGGAAAGAGCGAAACGCCAGGAUCUUUGAUCAUGCUUCCAACCCACCUGACUGGGUUCUGGACCGAAUCAAGGAAGACGUGGCCAUGUGGAGAGCCGCGGGAUGCAUUGCCGAUCUCCCGGCUUAG
rnacentral:rRNA from 1 species